UGGCACUAUCUGGACUGAAUUGUGAUCGAACUCAACCAACCUGUGUAAGUCUCAAUUUUGUUUCGGUGUCUCAGUCUUUUCCUUACAUUG